GUUUCACCGUGUUAGCCAGGAUGGUCUCGAUCUCCUGACCUUGUGAUCUGCCUGCCUCGGCCUCCCAAAGUGAAUAAGAUUCUUUUGAGAUGCUAUAGAAUCCUUUUGAUACUAAUUCCCAAAGGAAUAUUUUUUGGUAACUAUUUGGAGGAGGAAAGCACAGGAAUCCAACAAAAAUCUGGCACCACUGUGUCCUCUAAAAGUUUUAUAUAAUUCAUUGUUUUCCUUUUAAAGUGCACUAAAGCCUGUUCUAAAUCAGGAACUUACCCCAGACUUUCCACUGAACAACUCUGUCUGUAACAGAUUUUUCUUCCUUCAUCAAGAAUAACCAGGCCAAUGACAAUCUCCUCUGUAGCUUCCCUAAUUUGGCGGGAAGUUAUGUCUUGUCAUUUCAUGGAGCGGAGUUCCUUGAGACGGUCACUUCAUAAAGAGGUCUUAAUUAGAACUCCCACCCAUAAGAUCCAAAGCUAUGUCUUCUAUUCCUAUAUGUAUUCCAAAACCUGAGUUCUUGGGGCUUAUAUUGAUACUGGGUAUCCCACGGGCCUAAAAGCUGUGCCUUUCAGGUCCUUUUCAUUUCUGACAUCAAAAAACUUCUUUCUUUCAAACUUGGUUAAGCAUUAGUUAUUUUUAAUAUGCUUUUUGAAUCUAACAUUUCUGUAUUUUGAAAAGAGGAUGCAACUAGAUUAAAUUACCUUAUUUUGGAAGUUAUCUGCUCCAACUUCUAGAAUUAUCAGAUUUUAGAGCUGGAUGGGACUUUAGAGAUCCUUUUUUCACUCCAUGAAUUGAGAUUUCAAUUUAUUUCUAUACUAUCAGGUACCAGAUAAGUUUGGCAGUUGAAAAAAAUUACCACAGGUUAUUUUUAUUUUUCUCCCUUCAAAUAGAUUCUAAAAUUGAUAGAUUCAAUUUUAUAUUAAUUGAGCAUAUCCAAUGUGGUGGGUUGCUGAAGGUAGCAAGAGGUAUAAAUUAUAGCUCCUGAUCUUAAGCAGCUCAUAUUUUAAUAGGGGACUAAAUGUAAACAAACGAUUGCAAAAUGAUGUAAUAAAUCUAUUAUUAGUAAAUUAUGAAUGGAAUGCUUUAGUAGAUUUGGGGCUCUUAGUGCAGCAUGGGGAAGCCAGAGAAGACUGGAGGAGGUACACUGUUGUUGCUAGAUUAUCAAGAGUUAAUAAGUGUGUUUAUGAAUGUGAGUGUGUGUGUGUGUGUGUGUGUAUGUAUAUCUGUGUGGGCUGGUGGUGGUACUUAUGGCAUUCCAGGUAAAGCCAGAAACAGUGCUGAUAGUCAUCGUGUAGGAAUCAAUAAUACAUUAAAAAGGAACUCAAAUAAAUCCUGGGUUAUAUACGUUUAAUCUAACAAAUAGUUGUUGAGGUCAACUGUUCGUAUCAUCCACCAUGAAAUAACAUGCCCUGUGUAUAAACAUGGCAGUGAUAGUGUGCUCUUACUUUACUGUUGAGAAUAUUAAAUAUUAUAAUUUUCAUGUUUAAAAAACUUCAAUUUCUUGGAAUAAGCCUAAAUGUGUCGUUUUAAGAAAGAUCAAAUGCAAAAUCAUGACAGAGGGUUGCUACUAUUAUCUUCUUACAUAGCUCUCUUCACAAGGUCUUCAUCCUCUCCUACUACCUACCACCUUAUUCAACUCAAAUCACUGCCCCUCCAUCCCUCUCUUCUCUGCUUUCUCAGUAAGGCAGAGUUAAGACUCAGAAUGAUCAUCAAUGGUGCAUUCUGAUUAUGAACUCAGGUAAGUCAUCAAAGACUGAAGGAAGAAAAUAGUAAUUGCCAGGACAGGAGGAUUUAAUAUUUCUCUGAAGAGGGUAGACAAUGGCCCAAAAACAAUGUUAGUGAAAUC
rnacentral:lncRNA from 10 species